UAAUAGUUGGUAAUCUUUUCCCUUUGGUCUGAUCCAAUCAUCCACUUUCAUUCCCGGUGAGGAAUUGGGGUGUGAACACUAGCGGUACUGUUAGCAACCUUUUGAGUUCUGGUGAGGUCUGUAGGUCUGAAGGCUAAACUGGAAAGCCCAGGAAACACAUAGCCUUCUUCCCUAAGACCGUGAGCUUGGAAAGUAUGCACAGAGUUCUUUGGAGCCCUGAAUGGUUCUUUUUUUUUAGGUUUGGCGGUCAGAGUGACUUCAGGAAGACCACAGGACAAGUUGCUGGAGUUAGUACUCAGCCUCAAAGUGAGCGAAGCACUCCAAAGGAGUAUUUAGAUGUCAGGGGUGGAAGUAAAUUCCUCAAGGAGCUGAUGAUGUACUGACAUGUUUUGUGGUUGCUGUUGAACAUGAUGCUCUUUACAGUCAUGUGAAAAUCAUGCAUCAAGUUACAGUUACAUCUGUCAGAUAUAGUUAUCUACCAAGGGAAUCCUUGCUAUCAGAAUCCAUUAUAAGGCCUUUCCAUCCAUUGUCCUUAGUCACACAGGGAGUUACUAAAAGAAAGAUAUUAUCUAGUGAAUCAAUCCUAAAAGUAUUCUUCAAUAACAUUAUUUAUUGGUGUUGGUUUUCACAAAUUAAAUGAAUGGCUUUGCUAUUUAGACUCCUAGGAUUUUUAAAAAUAUCCACGUGAACUCUUAUUAGUCGAUGCGAAGUAACUGACAAGUGCAAACAUAGAUUGUGUUAUAGAUGCAAGAGCUCAUGAGGUUGACCGAAGUGAUGCUGGAGGGCUGCUCAAAAUCACAAUGUUGGGACUUGAGCAAGUCUUUCCCUGCCAGAGUGGGACCCUCGGAGGAUGGGGACAUGGCAGCUGAUAAGGUAGGCUCUCCAGGAGAAUGGUUAGCUAUGAGAAGUUGAAGCAGAUUCCUUAGGGAGGCCAAAAAAGGCAAGGUGCUUUGCUGUUCACUAUGAUGCUCUUGAUGUGAAUGGGUUCUAAUUUCAUGAAAUCCUAUCAAACUGUUUUGUUCUUGUUGUUUACUAGGAAAUUCAGAUUUCCAUUUUAAAUGUAUUUAAGUAGUUUUUCUUCCUCUUCCUCUUCUUCUUCUCCUCCUCCUCUCCCCUUCUCCUACCCCCUCCUCCUUCCCCUUCCUCCUC
rnacentral:lncRNA from 1 species